AUGUCUGCUCUGGCGCAGGCAGAAACAGGAAGAAUCCUGUCCCAGACUGCUCCUGAGUUCUUGCGUCCUGAGGAUUCCAUGCUGGUACCUCAGAGCAAAAGUGGUGGUCUUACCUGUCUUUUCUCAGGUGCCAGAUGCGACAUCCAGUUGACCCAGUCUCCAUCCUCCAUGUCUGCAUCUCUGGGAGACAGAGUCAGUCUUACUUGCCAGUCAAGCCAGGGCAUUGGAAAUUAUUUAAGCUGGUACCAGCAUAAACCAGGGAAACCUCCUAAGCCUAUGAUUUAUUAUGCAACCAACUUGGCAGAUGGGGUCCCAUCAAGAUUCAGUGGCAGUAGGUCUGGGUCAGAUUAUUCUCUCACCAUCAGCAGCCUGGAGUCUGAAGAUACAGCAAUCUAUUACUGUCUACAGUAUGAUGAGUACCCUUCCACAGUGAUACAAGUCAUAACAUAA